GGCUCAGGAUGAACGCUAGCUACAGGCUUAACACAUGCAAGUCGAGGGGCAGCAUGAAGUUUGCUUGCAAACUUUGAUGGCGACCGGCGCACGGGUGAGUAACGCGUAUCCAACCUUCCGCAUAGUAGGGAAUAGCCCGGCGAAAGUCGGAUUAAUGCCCUAUGUUUUUCCGAUGAGGACAUCUGAGCUGGAACAAAGAUUUAUCGCUAUGCGAUGGGGAUGCGUCUGAUUAGCUUGUCGGCGGGUAACGGCCCACCGAGGCAACGAUCAGUAGGGGUUCUGAGAGGAAGGUCCCCCACAUUGGUACUGAGACACGGACCAAACUCCUACGGGAGGCAGCAGUGAGGAAUAUUGGUCAAUGGGCGUAAGCCUGAACCAGCCAAGUAGCGUGCAGGAAAGACUGCCCUAUGGGUUGUAAACUGCUUUUAUGCGGGAAUAAAGUCAGGUACGCGUACCUGUUUGUAUGUACCGCAUGAAUAAGGACCGGCUAAUUCCGUGCCAGCAGCUGC
rnacentral:rRNA from 1 species